rnacentral:rRNA from 1 species
GAUGAACGCUAGCGGGAGGCUUAACACAUGCAAGUCGAGGGGUAAAUGGUAGCAAUACUAUGAGACCGGCGAACGGGUGCGUAACGCGUAUGCAACUUACCUUAUGCAGGGGGAUAGCCCGUGGAAACGCGGAUUAAUAUCCCAUAGAUCAGUAAUAUCGCAUGGUAUAACUGGUAAAACUCAGGUGGCAUAAGAUGGGCAUGCGUCUGAUUAGCUAGUUGGUAGGGUAACGGCCUACCAAGGCGACGAUCAGUAGGGGUUCUGAGAGGAUUAACCCCCACACUGGUACUGAGACACGGACCAGACUCCUACGGGAGGCAGCAGUGGGGAAUUUUGGACAAUGGGCGCAAGCCUGAUCCAGCCAUGCCGCGUGAGUGAAGAAGGCCUUCGGGUUGUAAAGCUCUUUCGGCCGGGAAGAAAUCGCAUGGGUUAAUACCCUGUGUGGAUGACGGUACCGGAAUAAGAAGCACCGGCUAACUACGUG